CACAACUUUAGUCAUCCAGGCUGGGGAUGUUGAAAUGGGAACCAGAAGCCAGGGCGGCUGACUGGCCACCUGAGGAACCUCAGGUUCACUCAAACCACAAGAAAACAGAUACCAGUUUUGGGAGUAGGAGACUCCCCUUCGGAAACGAGGAAGAGAGCCUCUCUGGUUCAGGCCCACUGGUGGAUGGUCAUCUUUAUGUGCAGCUGCGCAAAACUGGAGCAGGCAGACACCAGCAUGGUACUGCUUAAACUAUUAAGGGCAUGUCAUUGGUGGUACACUUUACAGUUAUCAAAUACUGAGGCUAGAUCAUGAAGGAACUAGAGGAUGAAUGGACAUUACCCCUGGAUGCUGGUCUUGAACACAGAUGCCGUAACCAUAAUCCUUCAGGUUGUCCAACUUCUGGAAUGGGUGAAGCUGUUUUCAUCUUGGCCCCAGGAGCUUGUCCUCAUUUUCUGAGGCGACAGAAGAGGAACUGAGAACCCAAAUUCUUUGUGCAAUGCAGGCUCUCUGGGUGUCAAAUACCCAUAAAACCAUUGCAUCCCGGCCUCAAGGUGGUGGUAUUUGCCUCCCACUCUCAAAGGAACAUCUGGAAGCCUGAAUGGAGAAGGAGGGCUGAUCAGCCAUCAGCUCAGCUGGGGCAGUGUUCCCUGACCUGUCAGCUCUUCCCCUUCAGACCUCAGAGGAUAGAGAGGGUCAGCUGGCAACCUCCACUGAGCCUGUGAACCAGUCCCAGGAGCUUCUCCAGCAGGUGUUUGUCCUUAGGCGGAGAUGUUUCCUGGAUGCCUCACUCCUUUGCCUCUCAAGGAUAAAUGCCCCGAUGACAGAAACCCCCAGCCCCUGCCCAGUGACAGGAAGUGCUGACUUCAACACUGGGUCCUGCCAUUUACCAGAGAGCCCUUGAAGAAAAAAUCAAGAGGAGAAAGGCCCAAAAGAAAGAAAACACGGUGGGCCAGAAAAAUUUCAUCAGGCAGAUUGCUUCAAGAUGAAGACCAACCAGAGAAAAUAUUCCCAGGAGUUAAAAUACGCAGCACGUUUUAGAUACCAAUGACGGCGAUUUGCUUUCUCUUCAUUUCUGUCUUCACAUUGCUGACAACUCCCCUCAUUGUCUUAAAUAUGGAUUGCCAAAGUCAAUUAAAUACGCAAGAGGAACAUUGUACAUUUUGGAGGAAAGUAAUUAUUGUUACACCUUAGAGCAGCUUAAUGAAUACAUUAAUAAACGAUCCUUCGCCAUGUUUUUCUUUUCAUAGCCAUCAAAAUCUUUAUAAAACCUACAGCACAAUACAUAACAUCUCGUUACAAGAUUUGCUUUUAAAAAAAUCAAUGCAUACCUAA
rnacentral:lncRNA from 1 species